rnacentral:rRNA from 1 species
UACGUAGGGACCGAGCGUUGUCCGGAAUCAUUGGGCGUAAAGAGCGUGUAGGCGGCCCCUUAAGUCCUGCGUGAAAUCCUGCGGCUCAACCGCAGACGGUCGUGGGAAACUGGAGGGCUAGAGUGCGGGAGAGGAGAGUGGAAUUCCCGGUGUAGCGGUGAAAUGCGCAGAUAUCAGGAAGAACACCUAUGGCGAAGGCAGCUCUCUGGGACGGUACUGACGCUGAGACGCGAAAGCGUGGGGAGCAAACAGG